CUACGGGGCGCUCCAGUGAGGAAUAUUGCACAAUGGGGGAAACCCUGAUGCAGCAACGCCGCGUGGAGGAUGACGCAUUUCGGUGUGUAAACUCCUUUUAUGAGUCAAGAAAAUGACGGUAGCUCAUGAAUAAGCACCGGCUAACUCCGUGCCAGCAGCCGCGGUAAUACGGAGGGUGCAAGCGUUACUCGGAAUCACUGGGCGUAAAGGACGCGUAGGCGGGAUGUCAAGUCAGGUGUGAAAUCCUAUGGCUCAACCAUAGAACUGCACUUGAAACUGGCAACCUAGAGUAUGGGAGGGGGAGAUGGAAUUAGUGGUGUAGGGGUAAAAUCCGUAGAUAUCACUAGGAAUACCGAAAGCGAAGGCGAUCUCCUGGAACAUUACUGACGCUAAGGCGUGAAAGCGUGGGGAGCAAACAGGAUUAGAUACCCCUGUAGUC
rnacentral:rRNA from 1 species